GUCGCAAAGGCUGAAACUUAAAGGAAUUGACGGAAGGGCACCACCAGGAGUGGAGCCUGCGGCUUAAUUUGACUCAACACGGGGAAACUCACCAGGUCCAGACACAUUAAGGAUUGACAGAUUGAGAGCUCUUUCUUGAUCAUGUGGGUGGUGGUGCAUGGCCGUUCUUAGUUGGUGGAGUGAUUUGUCUGCUUAAUUGCGAUAACGAACGAGACCUUAACCUGCUAAAUAGCCCGGCUCGCUUCUGCGGGUCGCUGGCUUCUUAGAGGGACUAUCGGAUUUCAAGACGAUGGAAGUUUGAGGCAAUAACAGGUCUGUGAUGCCCUUAGAUGUUCUGGGCCGCACGCGCGCUACACUGACAGAGCCAACGAGUUCAUCACCUUGGCCGGAAGGUCUGGGUAAUCUUGUUAAACUCUGUCGUGCUGGGGAUAGAGCAUUGCAAUUAUUGCUCUUCAACGAGGAAUUCCUAGUAAGCGCAAGUCAUCAGCUUGCGUUGAUUACGUCCCUGCCCUUUGUACACACCGCCCGUCGCUACUACCGAUUGAAUGGCUUAGUGAGGCCUUCGGACUGGCCCGAGGAGAUCGGCAACGAUCACCUUGGGCCGGAAAGUUGGUCAAACUUGGUCAUUUAGAGGAAGUAAAAGUCGUAACAAGGUUUCCGUAGGUGAACCUGCGGAAGGAUCAUUAUUUAAACGCGAGUAUGACAACUGUUCCGGUCAACGUAAUAGUCCCGGCAGGGCCAGGGCGGCCCUUCAUGCAGGAAACCUCUUGAUAUCUAUAUUAGGAUGCCACCGGAAGUCCGGGUUACAAACGCUGCUGCCGUCCUAUGGGGGUUAUCAAGCUGCACCCUCCUCUCCGAUCAUCUCUCGAGCUUGUGCUCAGUAACUGCACGGUGGUGCCGGGUCAGAUAUUUAAAUGGACGCCGGUGGGCUGUGUAGCGAACGCCUGGUCAGGACGGACGAUGUCGUGACGAUGGACCCCUGCUCCUGUCGUGUGCUCAAUUGUAUCCCAUGGAAAUGGUCACACGGUGGUUCGGAUGCUUUGUCUUCAUCUCCCAGGAAAUGAGCCAGGGUCGGCAUGGAGGGGUCGCUCGUACGGCCACAAUCUCUGUUAAAAUUCCAAUCUGUGUAUCUUACCCCUGUUGCUUCCCGCGAGGCCGAGAGGUCGCGCGGGGAGGAAAUCCCAAACUCUGGUUGUCAUUGUCGUUAGUCUGAGUGGUCAACACAUCAAACAAGUUAAAACUUUCAACAACGGAUCUCUUGGUUCUCGCAUCGAUGAAGAACGCAGCGAAAUGCGAUAAGUAGUGUGAAUUGCAGAAUUCAGUGAAUCAUCGAAUCUUUGAACGCACAUUGCGCCUUCUGGUAUUCCGGGAGGCAUGCCUGUCCGAGCGUCAUGAAGCAAACUCCUCAAGCAUUUUGUUGCUUGGUCUUGGGGGAACAGAUGCACCAGUGCCCUGUCCCCUGCAAUCCAUAGGCAGAAACCACUGCGACAUCAGGUGUGAUAAAGAUAACCUUUUCGCUUGAUGCCUCGUAGAUGCUGGUUCUGGCCUUUCCAACCCAGCCCCCCAGCUAUAUACACAUUCAGUUUGACCUCGGAUCAGGUAGGGAUACCCGCUGAACUUAAGCAUAUCAA
rnacentral:rRNA from 1 species